rnacentral:rRNA from 1 species
UGGGGAAUAUUGCACAAUGGGGGAAACCCUGAUGCAGCGACGCCGCGUGAACGAAGAAGGUAUUCGUAUCGUAAAGUUCUGUCCUAUGGGAAGAUAAUGACAGUACCAUAGAAGAAAGCUCCGGCUAAAUACGUGCCAGCAGCCGCGGUAAUACGUAUGGAGCGAGCGUUGUCCGGAAUUAUUGGGCGUAAAGGGUACGCAGGCGGUUUAAUAAGUCGAAUGUUAAAGAUCGGGGCUCAACCCCGCAAAGCAUUGGAAACUGAUAAACUUGAGUAGUGGAGAGGAAAGUGGAAUUCCUAGUGUAGUGGUGAAAUACGUAGAUCAUAGGAAGAAUACCAGUAGCGAAGGCGCCUUUCUGGACACAAACUGACGCUGAGGUACGAAAGCGUGGGGAGCAAACAGG